rnacentral:rRNA from 1 species
UACGGGAGGCAGCAGUAAGGAAUAUUGGUCAAUGGACGCAAGUCUGAACCAGCCAUGCCGCGUGGAGGAUGAAGGUCCUCUGGAUUGUAAACUUCUUUUAUCGGAGAAGAAACCCAGACAUUCCUGUCUGGUUGACGGUACCCGAUGAAUAAGCACCGGCUAACUCCGUGCCAGCAGCCGCGGUAAUA